rnacentral:rRNA from 1 species
GACAGAGGGUGCGAGCGUUAAUCGGAAUUACUGGGCGUAAAGCGCGCGUAGGCGGCUUUGCAAGUCGGGUGUGAAAUCCCCAGGCUUAACCUGGGAACUGCAUUCGAGACUGCAUUGCUAGAGUAUGGGAGAGGGAAGUGGAAUUUCCGGUGUAGCGGUGAAAUGCGUAGAUAUCGGAAGGAACAUCAGUGGCGAAAGCGACUUCCUGGACCAAUACUGACGCUCAUGUGCGAAAGCGUGGGGAGCAAACAGG